rnacentral:rRNA from 1 species
GAGUUUGAUCCUGGCUCAGAUUGAACGCUGGCGGCAGGCCUAACACAUGCAAGUCGAGCGGAUGACGGGAGCUUGCUCCUUGAUUCAGCGGCGGACGGGUGAGUAAUGCCUAGGAAUCUGCCUGGUAGUGGGGGACAACGUUUCGAAAGGAACGCUAAUACCGCAUACGUCCUACGGGAGAAAGCAGGGGACCUUCGGGCCUUGCGCUAUCAGAUGAGCCUAGGUCGGAUUAGCUAGUUGGUGGGGUAAUGGCUCACCAAGGCGACGAUCCGUAACUGGUCUGAGAGGAUGAUCAGUCACACUGGAACUGAGACACGGUCCAGACUCCUACGGGAGGCAGCAGUGGGGAAUAUUGGACAAUGGGCGAAAGCCUGAUCCAGCCAUGCCGCGUGUGUGAAGAAGGUCUUCGGAUUGUAAAAGCACUUUAAGUUGGGAGGAAGGGCAGUAAGUUAAUACCUUGCUGUUUUGACGUUACCGACAGAAUAAGCACCGGCUAACUCUGUGCCAGCAGCCG